UACGGGGGGGGCAAGCGUUGUUCGGAAUUACUGGGCGUAAAGGGCUGGUAGGCGGCCAACUAAGUCGGAUGUGAAAUCCCCAGGCUUAACCUGGGAACUGCAUCCGAUACUGGUCGGCUUGAAUCCGGGAGAGGGAUGCAGAAUUCCAGGUGUAGCGGUGAAAUGCGUAGAUAUCGAGAGGAACACCUGCGGCGAAGGCGGGUUGCUGGGCUGACACUGACGCUGAGGCGCGAAAGCUAGGGGAGCGAACGGG
rnacentral:rRNA from 1 species